rnacentral:rRNA from 1 species
CGCUUAAAUGGAUUUCUUCGGAUUGAAGUUUUUGUGACUGAGUGGCGGACGGGUGAGUAACGCGUGGGUAACCUGCCUCAUACAGGGGGAUAACAGUUAGAAAUGACUGCUAAUACCGCAUAAGACCACAGCACCGCAUGGUGCAGGGGUAAAAACUCCGGUGGUACAAGAUGGACCCGCGUCUGAUUAGCUGGUUGGUGGGGUAACGGCCUACCAAGGCGACGAUCAGUAGCCGGCCUGAGAGGGUGAACGGCCACAUUGGGACUGAGACACGGCCCAAACUCC